GUAACGGGGCUAAACAUACCACCGAAGCUAUGGCUAGUGAGAAUCCUUACGGAUUCCACUUGGGUAGGGGAGCGUUCCAAGCAGCAGUGAAGCCGUACUGGAAAGAGCGGUGGAGCGCUUGGAAGUGAGAAUGCCGGUGUAAGUAGCGAAAAGACAAGUGAGAAUCUUGUCCACCGAAAGCCUAAGGUUUCCUGGGGAAGGCUCGUCCUCCCAGGGUUAGUCGGGACCUAAGCUGAGGCCGAAAGGCGUAGGCGAUGGACAAC
rnacentral:rRNA from 1 species